UACGAAGGGGGCUAGCGUUGUUCGGAAUUACUGGGCGUAAAGCGCACGUAGGCGGACUAUUAAGUCAGGGGUGAAAUCCCGGGGCUCAACCCCGGAACUGCCUUUGAUACUGGUAGUCUCGAGUCCGGAAGAGGUGAGUGGAAUUCCGAGUGUAGAGGUGAAAUUCGCAGAUAUUCGGAGGAACACCAGUGGCGAAGGCGGCUCACUGGUCCGGUACUGACGCUGAGGUGCGAAAGCGUGGGGAGCAAACAGG
rnacentral:rRNA from 1 species